UCAGAUUCGAUAGACCCCAGAGCCUGACCC
rnacentral:piRNA from 1 species